UACGUAGGGGGCUAGCGUUGUCCGGAAUCAUUGGGCGUAAAGAGCGUGUAGGCGGCCCGGUAAGUCCGCUGUAAAAGUCAAAGGCUCAACCUUUGAAUGUCAGUGGAUACUGCCGGGCUAGAGUCCGGGAGAGGCGAGUGGAACUCCUGGUGUAGCGGUGGAAUGCGCAGAUAUCAGGAAGAACACCAACGGCGAAGGCAGCUCGCUAGGACGGUACUGACGCUGAGACGCGAAAGCGUGGGGAGCGAACAGG
rnacentral:rRNA from 1 species